rnacentral:rRNA from 1 species
GAUGAACGCUGGCGGCGUGCCUAAUACAUGCAAGUCGAGCGAACGGACGAGAAGCUUGCUUCUCUGAUGUUAGCGGCGGACGGGUGAGUAACACGUGGAUAACCUACCUAUAAGACUGGGAUAACUUCGGGAAACCGGAGCUAAUACCGGAUAAUAUUUUGAACCGCAUGGUUCAAAAGUGAAAGACGGUCUUGCUGUCACUUAUAGAUGGAUCCGCGCUGCAUUAGCUAGUUGGUAAGGUAACGGCUUACCAAGGCAACGAUGCAUAGCCGACCUGAGAGGGUGAUCGGCCACACUGGAACUGAGACACGGUCCAGACUCCUACGGGAGGCAGCAGUAGGGAAUCUUCCGCAAUGGGCGAAAGCCUGACGGAGCAACGCCGCGUGAGUGAUGAAGGUCUUCGGAUCGUAAAACUCUGUUAUUAGGGAAGAACAUAUGUGUAAGUAACUGUGCACAUCUUGACGGUACCUAAUCAGAAAGCCACGGCUAACUACGUGCCAGCAGCCGCGGUAAUACGUAGGUGGCAAGCGUUAUCCGGAAUUAUUGGGCGUAAAGCGCGCGUAGGCGGUUUUUUAAGUCUGAUGUGAAAGCCCACGGCUCAACCGUGGAGGGUCAUUGGAAACUGGAAAACUUGAGUGCAGAAGAGGAAAGUGGAAUUCCAUGUGUAGCGGUGAAAUGCGCAGAGAUAUGGAGGAACACCAGUGGCGAAGGCGACUUUCUGGUCUGUAACUGACGCUGAUGUGCGAAAGCGUGGGGAUCAAACAGGAUUAGAUACCCUGGUAGCCCACGCCGUAAACGAUGAGUGCUAAGUGUUAGGGGGUUUCCGCCCCUUAGUGCUGCAGCUAACGCAUUAAGCACUCCGCCUGGGGAGUACGACCGCAAGGUUGAAACUCAAAGGAAUUGACGGGGACCCGCACAAGCGGUGGAGCAUGUGGUUUAAUUCGAAGCAACGCGAAGAACCUUACCAAAUCUUGACAUCCUUUGACAACUCUAGAGAUAGAGCUUUCCCCUUCGGGGGACAAAGUGACAGGUGGUGCAUGGUUGUCGUCAGCUCGUGUCGUGAGAUGUUGGGUUAAGUCCCGCAACGAGCGCAACCCUUAAGCUUAGUUGCCAUCAUUAAGUUGGGCACUCUAAGUUGGCUGCCGGUGACAAACCGGAGGAAGGUGGGGAUGACGUCAAAUCAUCAUGCCCCUUAUGAUUUGGGCUACACACGUGCUACAAUGGACAAUACAAAGGGCAGCGAAACCGCGAGGUCAAGCAAAUCCCAUAAAGUUGUUCUCAGUUCGGAUUGUAGUCUGCAACUCGACUACAUGAAGCUGGAAUCGCUAGUAAUCGUAGAUCAGCAUGCUACGGUGAAUACGUUCCCGGGUCU